AUCCUACUCCCUCCGUCCGAAAAUACUUGUCAUUGAAAUGGAUGUAUCUAGAUGUAUUUUAGUUGUAGAUACAUCUAUUUUCAUUUAUUUUGAAGACAAGUAUUUUGGGACGGAGGGAGUAUAUC
rnacentral:pre_miRNA from 1 species